GGGGGAUUAGCUCAGCUGGUUAGAGUGCUUGCUUGACAUGCAAGAGGUCGGUGGUUCGAGUCCACUAUUUCCCACCA
rnacentral:tRNA from 2 species